rnacentral:rRNA from 1 species
UAGGGAAUAUUAGAAAUGGACGAAAGUCUGAUCUAGCAACACCGCGUGUGCGAAGAAGGCCUUCGGGUUGUAAAGCACUUUUUGGAAGGAUUAGGAAGGAAUGUACUUCCAGAAUAAGUCUCGGCUAACUACGUGCCAGCAGCCGCGGUAACACGUAGGAGGCAAACGUUAUCCGGAUUUACUGGGCGUAAAGCGAGUGUAGGUGGUUCUGUAAGUAGGGCGUGAAAGCUCCUGGCUCAACUGGGAGAGGCCGUUCUAAACUGCAGAGCUAGAGGAUGGUAGAGGGAGGUGGAAUUCCGGGUGUAGAGGUGGAAUGCGCAGAUAUCCGGAGGAACACCAGUGGCGAAAGCGGCCUCCUGGACCAUUACUGACACUCAGACGCGAAAGCUAGGGUAGCAAACGG